rnacentral:rRNA from 1 species
UACGUAGGUGGCAAGCGUUGUCCGGAAUUAUUGGGCGUAAAGCGCGCGCAGGCGGUCUUUUAAGUCUGAUGUGAAAGCCCACGGCUCAACCGUGGAGGGUCAUUGGAAACUGGGGGACUUGAGUGCAGGAGAGAAGAGUGGAAUUCCACGUGUAGCGGUGAAAUGCGCAGAUAUCGGGAGGAACACCGGUGGCGAAGGCGGUUCUCUGGGCCGUUACCUGACGCUGGAGGAGCGAAAGCUAGGGGAGCAAACAGG